GACGAACGCUGGCGGCGUGCUUAACACAUGCAAGUCGAACGGAAAGGCCCUGCUUUUGUGGGGUGCUCGAGUGGCGAACGGGUGUGUAACACGUGAGUAACCUGCCCUUGACUUUGGGAUAACUUCAGGAAACUGGGGCUAAUACCGGAUAGGAGUCCCCGCCGCAUGGGGGGGGGUGGAAAGUUUUGGCGGUUGGGGAUGGACUCGCGGCUUAUCAGCUUGUUGGUGGGGUAGUGGCUUACCAAGGCUUUGACGGGUAGCCGGCCUGAGAGGGUGACCGGCCACACUGGGACUGAGAUACGGCCCAGACUCCUACGGGAGGCAGCAGUGGGGAAUAUUGCACAAUGGGCGGAAGCCUGAUGCAGCGACGCCGCGUGCGGGAUGACGGCCUUCGGGUUGUAAACCGCUUUCGCCUGUGACGAAGCGUGAGUGACGGUAAUGGGUAAAGAAGCACCGGCUAACUACGUG
rnacentral:rRNA from 1 species